GGGCGCAUGGUGUAGUUGGUUAUCACAUCCGCUUAGCACAGCUUUCAGCUUGUGAGUAUGCGGGGGGUGCUGGGUUCAAUUCCCAGUGCGUCCA
rnacentral:tRNA from 1 species